rnacentral:rRNA from 1 species
AUUGAACGCUGGCGGCAGGCCUAACACAUGCAAGUCGAGCGGAUGAGGGUAGCUUGCUACCUGAUUCAGCGGCGGACGGGUGAGUAAUGCCUAGGAAUCUGCCUGGUAGUGGGGGACAACGUUUCGAAAGGAACGCUAAUACCGCAUACGUUCUACGGGAGAAAGUGGGGGAUCUUCGGACCUCACGCUAUCAGAUGAGCCUAGGUCGGAUUAGCUAGUUGGUGGGGUAAAGGCUCACCAAGGCGACGAUCCGUAACUGGUCUGAGAGGAUGAUCAGUCACACUGGAACUGAGACACGGUCCAGACUCCUACGGGAGGCAGCAGUGGGGAAUAUUGGACAAGGGGCGCAAGCCUGAUCCAGCCAUGCCGCGUGUGUGAAGAAGGUCUUCGGAUUGUAAAGCACUUUAAGUUGGGAGGAGGGCAGUAAGUUAUACCUUGCUGUUUGACGUUACCGACAGAAUAAGCACCGGCUAACUCUGUGCCAGCAGCCG